rnacentral:rRNA from 1 species
UACGGGGGGGGCAAGCGUUGUUCGGAAUUAUUGGGCGUAAAGAGCUCGUAGGCGGUUUGUUGCGUCGGCUGUGAAAUCCCGAGGCUCAACCUCGGGUCUGCAGUCGAUACGAGCAAACUAGAGUGUUGCAGGGGAAACUGGAAUUCCUGGUGUAGCGGUGAAAUGCGCAGAUAUCAGGAGGAACACCGAUGGCGAAGGCAGGUCACUGGGCCGCAACUGACGCUGAGGAGCGAAAGCAUGGGGAGCGAACAGG